UAUAUUGCAUAUAUAUAAUGCAGUGGAAGUGUCAUAUAUAUAUAUAUAUAUAUAUAUNUUUUCAUUUUGAACAAUGCUUCCUAAAGCCAUAAAAGGAGAGCCACGAAGGAGAAGUGUGAAAGGCAGAUGGACACAAAGCAUAGAGGAACUGGAAAAAACGGACAAAGACCAAAACAACAGUGUGCAUAAUGGCCAACCAAAUCUUCAGUAAGACUUUACAACCAUCUUUACAACCUAAUCCAAAAUGACUUCCCUCAGAGAUAGGUAUUUCAGGGGAAAGGUGCUUUGCAUGAAAGAAGCAGUGCCUGGGGAAAGAAACAAUGUAAGAUGAGGCUUGAACAAGAGGACGGUGCUUGAAUACAGCAUGACUGAAAACAGCUGUUGACAUGAGGUCUGGAACUGCCCUUCACCACUCAGUUCACUGGCUUGCAGUGAAGUGAGCAUAAAGGAGAGAUGGGGAGCUUGGCUGUAGCCUCACUGACUUUUAUUUGACAUAGAAAGCGAACAUGGGACAAGAGUAUUAGCAUGAGGAUAACUGAACAAAUGGUAUUAUAUUCCUGAUAAAGCCAGAAGCGAAAUGGAUACUUUCAGAAGUGUAAUCAGAGAUGAUUGGAUUGACAAUGCAGGACAUUUAUGUCAUUAAUAAGAAUAGUACUGUUUUUUUUUGCUGGACUAUUCUUCUAAGUGCUUUCCAAAACCACAGAGACAUCAUAUGCUGAUUUUCUUGGCAGAAAUCAAAGCUCUCCGUUCUUCCUCAUACAUGUAAGAUGUAAUAAUGUUGAUAGUAUUACCUAUUCAGUGGUUUUCUCAGUUCUGCUUUUAUUACUUAGCCUGGUUUUAAGGACAAGGAAUAGCAAACAUUCAAGAAUCAACAAAAGGGUAAAACAGGUCUACUAUUGAUAUCAGAACAAUUAGGGGACAAGUUCAAUGAAAAAUUUUACACUGAUAUAUGACGGUAUAGAUGAUUUUCAAAGUCUACUACAUUAUUUAGUAGGAUGAGUCUGAAACAGCAACAUAGUGUGCAACACUGACAGCAUAGCCCUACUGUACUAUAUAACAGCAUACUGCAUUAGAAUUAUGAAAUUUACUGUGAAACUGAGUUAUGUUCCAGAUUAGGAAAUUGUGAGACCACAACCUCUAUUCUCAUCAAAAAGAUGUUUAAGUUAGAAAUUAGAAAAGCUACUUAACAGUUUAUGUAAAGAAGGAGCAUGGUGAGUACGGACAGCAAGCACAACUGUCACUAGGACAGUUGGUUUAAUAGAGGGAAAUGCUAAUGGCUUUUUGGCCAGCCUUGUGUCCAUUGGUCUGUGUAAGAGGGGGAGAGAAGGUUUUGCCUAUGAGAGUUUCAACUUGUGCCUUGUUGAGAGGAGGAGAAACAUCAACUCUUGAUUAACAGAGAACCAGACAGUCCUGGAG
ensembl:lncRNA